GUCCUUGUGUCUCUGGGCAAAACACAUGACGCUUGAGAGUGAGGAGGGAAUCAAAUGCAAGAAAUUUAGUCAUUUUGGGUGUCAUAAGACAUAGACGCUAUAUGGGUCAAAUGCACUGUUAUAACUGUAAUAAUUAUUGUUUUAUCAAAUGUCACAAAGCAAUCCUAGGCCUUACAAGUUCUGGAAUUCACUUUGAAAUGUCAUCUCUUUAAGGUCUAUGCCUGCUGCUCAACUUCAAUCCCAGCACCACUGCUCCAGCAGGGAACGUCUGUGAAGGCAAAAAUGGACUUUAUGCCAACCCAGAUGACCCACAUAGCUUUUUUAACUGUGACUGGGGUCAUGGCUCUCUGAUGUAUUGUCCUGGAGAUCUGGUCUUUUACGAAUCGUGCCCCUGCUGUGACUAUGUCGACAAGCAUCACUACUACGACAAGACUACCACCACCACCACCAAAAACACCGGAACCACCACCACCUCCACCAAAGCCCCCAAUGUCUGCGAAGGCAAAAAUGGCCGUUUUGCCAACCCAGAUGACCCACACACCUUUUUUAACUGUGACUGGGGUCAUGGCUCUCUGAUGUAUUGUCCUGAAUAUCUGAUCUUUUACGAAGCGUGCGACUGCUGUGACUAUGUCAAAGACCCUUGGCAUUUAAGGACUACCACCACCACCACCAAAAACACCGGACCCACCACCACCACCACCAAAGCCCCCAAUGUCUGCGAAGGCAAAAAUGGCCGUUUUGCCAACCCAGAUGACCCACACACCUUUUUUAACUGUGACUGGGGUCAUGGCUCUCUGAUGUAUUGUCCUGAAUAUCUGAUCUUUUACGAAGCGUGCGACUGCUGUGACUAUGUCAAAGACCCUUGGCACCUAAGGACUACCACCACCACCACCAAAAACACCGGACCCACCACCACCACCACCAAAGCCGUCAAUGUCUGCGAAGGCAAAAAUGGACUUUAUGCCAUCGAAAAUGAACCACACUGCUUUUUAAACUGUGACUGGGGUCGUGGCGGUCUGUUGAAGUGUCCUCAUGAUCUGGUGUUUUACAAAUCGUGCAACUGCUGUGACUAUGCCGUCGACCCUUGGCACCUACAGCCUCACUACCAAAACACCGGAACCACCAGCAUAGUUGCAAAGAACGUCUGUGAAGGCAAAAAUGGCCGUUAUGCCAACCCAGAUGACCCACACACCUUUUUUAACUGUGACUGGAGUCAUGGCGCUCUGAUGUAUUGUCCUUCAGAUCUGGUCUUUUACGAAUCGUGCGACUGCUGUGACCACGUCGGCAAGCAUCAUUACUAACAUGACCGUUAUGCCAACCCAGAUGACCCACACAGCUUUUUUAACUGUGACUGGGAUGUUGGCGCUCUGAUGGAUUGUCCUGAAUAUCUGGGACUGCUGUACCUAUCUCUAACACAAUCUAAUGGAAAUAUACUGGUCACAUUUAAACAGUGAGUUUAUCUCAGGUUAAGUGGAUUGGGAUUGUUCUGUUUCUAGUUUAUUGAUUUAAAGGUAUAAUUUAACAGUUUCCACUUCUACAUCCAAUCAAAAACGUUUUAAAAUUAUAUCAUUGCAUUAUAUAUUUGAUUAAGUUGAAAUGUUAAUAAAAUUACACUAAAUUAAAAUCUUG
ensembl:lncRNA